rnacentral:rRNA from 1 species
GACGAACGCUGGCGGCGUGCUUAACACAUGCAAGUCGAACGAAGUGGCGAACGGGUGAGUAACGCGUAAUCAACCUGCCCUUCAGAGGGGGAUAACAGUUGGAAACGACUGCUAAUACCGCAUACUGAAGGAGGGGAUUGCGUCGUAUUAGCUCGUUGGAGGGGUAACGGCCCAACAAGGCGAUGAUCAGUAGCCGGUCUGAGAGGAUGAACGGCCAACUUGGGACGUAGACACGGCCCAGACUCCUACGGGAGGCAGCAGUGGGGAAUCUUCCGAAAUUGACGAAAGUCUGACGGAGCAACGCCGCGGGAGUGAUGACGGCCUUCGGGUUGGAAAGCUCUGUUAAUCGGGACGCGGUACCGGAAUAGAAAGCCACGGCUAACUACGUGCCAGCAGCCGCGGUAAUAC